UACGUAGGAUGCAAGCGUUGUCCGGAAUUAUUGGGCGUAAAGAGCGAGCAGGCGGUUACUCAAGUCAGAUGUAAAAUAUCCCGGCUUAGCCGGGAGGGGCCAUUUGAAACUGGGUAACUAGAGUGAAGCAGAGGAUAGCGGAAUUCCCGGUGUAGUGGUGAAAUGCGUAGAUAUCGGGAGGAACACCAGUGGCGAAGGCGGCUAUCUGGGCUUUAACUGACGCUGAGGCGCGAAGGCUAAGGGAGCAAACAGG
rnacentral:rRNA from 1 species